ensembl:lncRNA novel transcript, antisense to SYT14
GUGUUGAAGAAGAGUGUUAAGAGUAGACAUUCUUGUCUUGUUCCAGUUCUCAAGGAGAAAGGUUCUAGCUUUUGCCCACUCAGUAUGAUGUUGGCUAUGAGUCUGGCAUAGAUGACUCAUUAUUUUGAGUUAAGAUAAAAUAACAUGGACAGAUUUCUCCCACCACCUGAAAACACUAAAACAAGACAGAGCGUAUGAAACAAUGGCACUCAAGACACUGAAGAUGGGCAAUAAAGGAGUGAUCAUUCAGAGGAAGAAAAAAAAUGAGAUCAUCUGUAUGACUAUGAUUUUCCAAGCUUACUACCUGGAGAAAGGGGACAGUGCGGUCACUGUACAGUCAGGUGAGUGUUGAGGAGAUAAACCUGGGAGUAUGAAGAAGCCAAGUGUGCUCAAGUUCAUGUGGCUGAGUCCCGGAAUAAAAAGCUGUGUAGACAGAGAACUCCAGACACCUGCACUGAGUCACUCCUAAGAUACAGUUCAGUACUUCUUAGCACAUACAUGUAAGGAAACAAUCAGAGGCUGGGAAAAAAACUGCCUAAGAGGAUUAGAGGGAAGACAUGCCAAAUCUUACACAGAGCAUGAAAUGGGGACUAUUCUGAAGAUCCAGAAUUUUAAAAUCUCAAACCUUAUGAGCCACUGAUUAGACUGACAUAUGAAGGAUUUUGCUUCAGAAAAUUAAUCUUACACUAAAUGCAGGUUUUGCCCCUCCUAACAAAGGUGAAAAGCAAGACUGAAAGGAAAGUCUCAGGUAAUUUAACCUAUCUCAGAAUAAAGCUCAAGAACUAAUCACGAUUAGAUCUAACACUCAACAAGGGAAACUUCACAAUGUUUGGCAUCCAAUAAAGAAAUUAUCAGGUAUGCAAAGAAGCAAAAUGAAAAAAACCUAGCAGAAAAAUUAAUCAAUCGAAACUGACUCAGAAAAUUGAUAAAAUUAGGAGACAGGGACACUAACAAUUAUGAUGAUAUAUUCCAUGGGUUUGAAGAACCAGAGGAAUGAUCGAAUGUGGUAAGAGGAGAUACGGAACUUUUCUUAAAAGCCUAAAUCAAACUUCCAAAGGUAAAAACUAAAAUGUCUUAGAUAAAAAUACACUGAAAGAGACUGACAGCACAUCAGAUAUUACAAAAGAAAAUGUUAAUGAACCUGAAGACAUAUCAACAGAAAGCAUAAACACAACAGAAAGACUAAAAAAAUGCAAAUAAUCAGUAAAUUGUGGAACAACUUCAAGUAGAUAAAUACAUGUGUAAUUGAAGUCCCCACAAAAGAGAUGAGAAAAGAAGAAAUCAAGAAAACAUUUGAAGAAGUGAUGGUCAAAAUUGUUCCAAAUUUAAUGAAAACUAUCACCAAAAGCAGCUCAGUAAAUUCAAUGUACAAGAAAAAAACGAAGAAAACUACACAAAGGAACAUUAUAUUCAAAUGGAUUAAAGUUGUAAAGAUAAAAACAGAAGUAGUCAGAAAAAUUACACAUUAUCUACAAAAGAAAAGAGGUAAGGCUGACAAGAGAUUCAUCAGAAAUAAUAAAAGAUAGAACAAGUGGCACACUAUCUUUAAAGUAUUGAAAGAAUAAAAGCCGCUAAUCUAGAAGUCCUUGCCAGUUAAAUGAUCUUUGAAAAGCAAAAGGUGAAAUUUUGUAAAACAACACAACACAACUUUGAGUCACACAAAAGGAUAUAGUUUGGAUAUUUGUCUCCACCCAAAUCUCAUAUUGAAAUGUAAUUACCAGUGUUGGAGGUGAGACCUAGUGGGAGGUGUUUGGAUCAUGGGGGAAGAUCCUUUACAGCUUGGUGCUGUCCUUACAGUAGUGAGUACUCACAAGAUCUGAUUGUUUAAGUGUGUAGCACCUCACCCACAUUCUCUCUUGCUCCUGUUUUCACCAUGUGAAGUGCUUGCUCCCACUUCAUGUCCCACUAUUAGUAAAAGCUUCCUGAGGCCUCUACAGAAGCUGAACAGAUGCCAGCGCCAUGCUUGCACAGCCUACAAAACUUUAAGCCAAUUAA